rnacentral:rRNA from 1 species
AUUGAACGCUGGCGGAAUGCUUUACACAUGCAAGUCGAACGGCAGCACGGGUGCUUGCACCUGGUGGCGAGUGGCGAACGGGUGAGUAAUACAUCGGAACGUACCCAGUUGUGGGGGAUAACUAACCGAAAGGUUAGCUAAUACCGCAUACGACCUGAGGGUGAAAGCGGGGGACCGUAAGGCCUCGCGCAAUUGGAGCGGCCGAUGUCUGAUUAGCUAGUUGGUGAGGUAAAGGCUCACCAAGGCGACGAUCAGUAGCUGGUCUGAGAGGAUGAUCAGCCACACUGGAACUGAGACACGGUCCAGACUCCUACGGGAGGCAGCAGUGGGGAAUUUUGGACAAUGGGGGAAACCCUGAUCCAGCCAUUCCGCGUGAGUGAAGAAGGCCUUCGGGUUGUAAAGCUCUUUCGGCAGGGAAGAAACGCUCUGGCUUAAUACGCCGGGGUAAUGACGGUACCUGAAGAAGAAGCACCGGCUAACUACGUGCCAGCAGCCGCCGUAA